rnacentral:lncRNA from 1 species
UUGUGAAAGUUGUAUGAAAUCUGAUGGGUGAAGGGAACAAGAGGUAUGCAGCAAUUAAGUGUAAUAAUUAAAUGUGAUUAAGCAUGGCAUGGGAAUCCAAAGGGAAUGCAAUGGUGAUUGCACGGCAAGGAAGGUGCAUUGUGGAGUGACACCCUUUUGUGGCUGAGUUCUUUAUCCUUUGUACAAUAAUUCUUCACAUUCUUAGCCUCUUUAGUCUUCAAUUUCGUCCAUCCACCUUGCUCCAUGCAUUUGCUAUCCAUUCUAAACCCGAAACUGCUCCAAAGGCCUCCAAAAUGCAUCUUCUUGCAUACUAUGUCCUUAGAAUCUAAAACACACAAAAAUGACUUUAAACACUAAAAUAACCAAGAAAACACAACGUAAAUGCGCAAGAACAAGCUAACUAAGUCGCAUAAAUAUGCUCCUAUCAAAUUCCCCCACACUUAGCUUUUGCUAGUCCUCGAGCAAAACAAAAUAACUAAACAAAACAAAACCAACAAAACGAACAAAACCCAACCUAAACCUUCCAACAUUUGCCUCAGGGAUUUCCAAUGCACAUGACAUGUUAAAAAUUGUCAUCCCCACAGAUUUUAGUUGUCUUCACACUUAAGCACAUACUUAAUCAUAGUCACCACUUACUAGUUCACAUUUAAGCAAUUAAAACAAUGUUUUUGAAUGUAGUAACAUGCCUUAGAGAAUUUGCUCAAGUCCUUACAAGAUAUUCACUCAAUUUUCACUCAGAUUUUCUAACUACACACCCUAUACUAGUUAUAUGUGAGAAGAUUGAUGUAAACAUGAAAACGAAUGCUCACAUAUAUGUAUUACAAAGAAAGCGAUUUCUGGAGCAUGUUUAGAUAUGAUCUCAUGAAUGGAAUGCUACUACUUAGAUGCGAGAACCAGUGACACCAUAUGCUCAUACCAAAUUCAAACUCCACAAAUUGAAACACAUAACACUCAAGAUUGAAGUCAAAGGUUGUAACAGGGCUUGGGGUGUUGGCUAACAAAUGAAAGUAAGGGAAAACAAACGUUCUUAAAGCAAUAGCAAAUAAAGUAAUGAACUUGAACUUAGAAUUCACUUAGAUUGCAGAAAUCAACUUUUAGACAUAAGGGAAAGAUUUAAACAACUCUUUAGGGUCAAAUUCAACUUUUUUUUUUUUUUUUUUUUUGUUCAUAGCACAAAUUUUUCUUUUCUUUUCUUUCCACCCGUGCCUAUGGCAUACUACUUACAUGAGAAACACUUCCCCCACACUUGUUUUCUGCCAAACAUUACUCAAAAGGAAUUCAAUUUGAAUCAUGCUUUACUAUGCUUUAAGAACAAGGGUAUGGAUGGUCCUAAU